AUGGGGGUAUUCAAACUACCUUACUCGCUAUGUGAUGAUCUCACUAGAAUGAUUCGAAACUUCUAUUGGGGUUCUGCAAAGGGCAAGAGGAAAGUGCACUGGAAAGGAUGGGAUCAUCUACUGCAGCCGAAAUCAAAGGGAGGGGUGGGAUUUCGAGAUCUUCGCUUCUUUAACCAGGCUUUGUUAUCAAGACAAGCUUGGAGGUUGAUUACUAGACCGGAAAGUCUGUGUGCUCGCGUCCUGAAAGCGAAAUAUUACCCAAACGGGAAACUAGAAGAUACUGUGUUCACGGGUAACUCGUCUUCUUCGUGGCAAGCUAUUAGUCAUGGGCUGGACCUUUUGAAGAAGGGAUUGCUUUGGAGGGUCGGUAAUGGUAAAAGUAUAAGAAUUUGGCGAGAUAGUUGGAUACCGAGACCUUUUUCUUACAAACCUAUCUCAGCACAAGGGAGGUGUCGAAUCCGGUAUGUGGCUGACUUGCUAAAUGAUAACGGGUCUUAGAAGUAUGAUCAAGUAUCGAAGUACUUCGCUGCAGCUAAUGUAUCUGAAAUUCUGAAGAUAAGGGCGUCCCCAAGGCAGGAAGAGGAUGUGUUGGCUUGGGGACCCGGUCGGUUUGGCCGAUUCUCUGUCAAAAGUGCAUAUGAUAUGGCUUUUGAAGAAGCUCAUAGGAGCAGAGCGGUAGCUAGCAGCACAAAUCCCAGUGGAAACAGAUCAUUAUGGAGGUUAAUCUGGUCAUCUGAGGUACCUCCAACUGUCCGUAAUUUUGCAUGGAGAUUAGUAUCAAAUAGCUUGCCCACUUGGCAGAACAAGAACAAGAUAGGACUAGAAGUGUCCACACUAUGCCCAGUUUGUGCUUUGGAGCCAGAGGAUAACUUUCAUCCAAUGGUGAGAUGCCCACUAGCUCAGCAGUUGUAUGGUGCCAUGGCUGAGGUCUGGAGAUUGCCGCCAAUUGAAGCAAUUAAUAAUUCGGGCAAGGAAUGGUUAUUCCAGGUCCUAGAAACACUUGAUGAAUCACAGCGAAGCAUGAUAUUAUUCACCUUUUGGAGA
rnacentral:rRNA from 1 species